rnacentral:rRNA from 1 species
UACGUAGGGGGCAAGCGUUGUCCGGAUUCAUUGGGCGUAAAGAGCGUGUAGGCGGCCAGGUAGGUCGGUUGUGAAAACUGGAGGCUCAACCUUCAGAGGUCGACCGAAACCAUCUGGCUAGAGUCCGGAAGAGGAGAGUGGAAUUCCUGGUGUAGCGGUGAAAUGCGCAGAUAUACAGGAAGAACACCCGUGGCGAAAGCGGCUCUCUGGAACGGUACUGACGCUGAGACGCGAAAGCGUGGGGAGCGAACAGG